rnacentral:rRNA from 1 species
GGGGGUUUGAUCAUGGGCUCAGGAUGAACGCUGGCGGCGUGCCUAAUACAUGCAAGUCGAGCGAGGUUCUUCGGAACCUAGCGGCGGACGGGUGAGUAACACGUGGGCAACCUGCCUGUAAGACUGGGAUAACUUCGGGAAACCGAAGCUAAUACCGGACAAUUUCGAGCAUCGCAUGAUGCUUGAUGGAAAGACGGCUUCGGCUGUCGCUUACAGAUGGACCCGCGUCGCAUUAGCUAGUUGGUGAGGUAACGGCUCACCAAGGCGACGAUGCGUAGCCGACCUGAGAGGGUGAUCGGCCACACUGGGACUGAGACACGGCCCAGACUCCUACGGGAGGCAGCAGUAGGGAAUCUUCGGCAAUGGGCGAAAGCCUGACCGAGCAACGCCGCGUGAGCGAUGAAGGCCUUCGGGUCGUAAAGCUCUGUUGUUAAGGAAGAACAAGUACGAGAGUAACUGCUCGUACCUUGACGGUACUUAACGAGAAAGCCACGGCUAACUUACGUGCCAGCAGCCGCGGUAAUACGUAGGUGGCGAAGCGUUUAUCCGGAAUUAUUGGGCGUAAAGCGCGCGCAGGCGGUUUCUUAAGUCUGAUGUGAAAGCCC